GUUAGAUUGGGAGUGUCUUAUUAUCUGUGAUAUUGGGAUGUUUACGGUUGGGGGGGGUCUUAUUAUCUAUGAUAAUGGGAGGGUCUUAUUAUCUAUGAUAUUGGGAGGUUCUUGUUCGAUUGGGAGUGUCUUAUUAUCAGUGAUAUUGGGAUGUUUACGGUUGGGAGGGUCUUAUUAUCUGUGAUAUUGGGAUGUUUACGGUUGGGGGGGUCUUAUUAUCUGUGAUAUUGGGAUGUUUACGGUUGGGAGGGUCUUAUUAUAUGUACUAUAGGGAGGGUCUUAUUAUAUGUUAUAUUGAGAGGGUCUUAUUAUCUGUGAUAUUGGGAGGGUCGUAUUAUCUGUGAUAUUGAGAGGAUGUUAUUAUCUGUGAUAUUGGGAGGGUCUUAUUAUCUGUGAUAUUGGGAUGGUCGUAUUAUCUGUGAUAUUGGGA
ensembl:lncRNA